rnacentral:lncRNA from 1 species
AGCAACAGUGACCAUCCUAGGAAGAAUAGCACCCCAGGAACCCAGAUUAUGUUCUGUAAGUACUAUUCUCCACGGAAAGGAAACAGCUCAUUCUAGUCUGGGGCAGCAAAGGUACGGAUGAACCUGGAACAUCCUGUCAUACCAGAAAGCGAGGAACAUAUUGAAGACCACUGUGCUCAUAUCAGAGGACUCAGGCACUUGCCUGGAAAGGCUGAGCUUUGCUCAUAGGAAGAGAUGGGGAGUGAGUGUGGGUAGACAUGUAACAAGAUUGGCUGUAAGUUGAUUAGGGUUGCCAGAUAAAAUACAGGAUACCCGGGUAAACUGAAAUGUCACAUAAACAGCAAAUUAAAGCCUUAUUCCAAUGAGAGACUGAUAUUUCUAGUAAGAGUCUCAUGGGAAUAGCUUCCUUGUCUCCUCAAGGGGCGUGCCGAGCUCCACCUCGUGAUCCGCCCGCCCCGGCCUCCGAAAGUGCUGGGAUUACAGGUGUGAGCCACCACACCCAACCUGAUUUUGCAAAUGUUCAAAUCAGAAAACAGAACCUCAAGGAAUAAAACAGGAGCAAAGGCAGUUUCUCCCCUUUCAUGCUCACCGGAAAGAACUUUGCAAUAACUAGCUCAUUAGGCCUUGAAAUGGCUCAUUAAUUAAUGCUGAUUCUUUAAAAAUAAAAUUUCCAGUGACUUGGCAUUCAGAUCACGUCCAAAGUUAAGAUAAAUUCCCGAACCCUGAGGUGAUGAGAUUUCACUUCCAUGCCACAUGCCCCAGAUGUUCCCUGUGUACUGUGUUUUAAUGGCGGCCAAGCUGAUGGACUUGCCCUCCUCUUCCUCAUCUUAAGGAUGGCGUGGUGGAUAAUUAGCACUCGGCCCCUGCUCUCUCAGUUCCUCUUUUCUCCUCAGACCUCUAAUGCCUGGCUCAUCCUGGCUCUCAGAUGAGAACUUUGCUUCUUAUUUCACAGAGAAAAUGAAAACCAUCUGAACAGAACAUCCACACGCUCUCUCUUCUACAUCUCCUAAUACCUUGCAUCU